UGGAACGUUUGCCUACGUUUGCCGCUAGGGGCGCUGUUCUAACUCCAUACAAACUUGAGUUA
rnacentral:pre_miRNA from 1 species